GCCAUUGGUGUUCCAGGUGCUGCUCAGGUGAGGCCGGGGAGGGGGGCGGGUGGAGCCCCAGGAAGGGAAGGAAGACACAGUUACCAUCUGUGUGCAGGUCCCCCCUGGGGCACUCCUUGCCUCUGGGGUGAACUGGGGAUUGUUUUCUGUCUAGUAAGUUCCAGGGGGUUGACGGGAAGAAGGGGGGGGCAUUUCUAGUCUUUCCAGUCUGGGGAAUUUGGGGAACAAGUGUCAAGAAACCCAUUAAAACAUUGUUUAAUGCUUUGGUGAGUUGUUUUAAUAAGCUUUUUUCUUUUUCUUUUUUUAAAAUUUUUUUUAACGUUUAUUCAUUUCUGAGAGACAGAGACAGAGCAUGAGCGGGAGAGGGGCAGAGAGAGAAGGAGACACAGAAUCGGAAGCAGGCUCCAAGCUCCGAGCUGUCAGCACAGAGCCCGACGUGGGGCUCCAACUCACGAACUGUGAGAUCAUGACCUGAGCCGAAGUCGGAUGCUCAACCGAGUCACCCAGGCACCCCAAGAAUGUGUAUUUUAAAUUUGAAGAGGUCAGUUCCCGGCAAGCCCUGGAUUGUUUCCUCUUUCGGGCGCGUCCUUGCGAUCAGAAGCAUCACAGAAGUGGGCAUGCACCGUAGCAGACACAGGUGUCGAUCUGUCCAGUCCCUGCCGACCGCUCGGGCAGGGAGGCGUCAGGCGCGAAUCGUAGUUCUCCCUUUCGCCGCGAGCAAGUCUCAGGGAGCGGGAGACGCCGAACUUCGGGACGACAUCAACAUCCUGCUUCUCAUCGUAAGUUUACCCACCGGUGUUGGCAUCCGUUGAUGAUUCUCGCCAGGAAGAAACUAGACCGUGACGUUGGUCAGACGGCGGUUGUCUAUCCCGUCGUCUGUCUUUAUCACUCUUCGUUCUGCAGGAGGAAGUCUUUCCCUUCGACGUGACUCUGCAGGAGGAACUCGUGACUCUUUUUUUUUUUUAAUGUUUACUUAUUUUUGAGACAGAGACAGAGCAUGAGUGGGGGAGGGGCAGAGAGAGAAGGAGACACAGAAUCCAAAACAGGCCCCAGGCUCCGAGCCAUCAGCACAGAGCCCGACGCGGGGCUCGAACUCAUGGACUGCGAGAUCAUGACCUGAGCCGAAGUCCGUCGCUCCACGGACGGAGCCCCCAGGCGCCCCUGGACUCGUGACUCCUAUUUUACGGGUCAUACUGAGUUACUGUCAGUUUUGCUGUCGUUAUUCAAAUUGUCCCCGAGUUGGCCAGAAGGAUUUUGGAGAGUUUUGAUGAAGGAGGGCCACAAUUAGAUGCAGAUUUGUAAAAAAGAUCCCCGUGAACCUCAGGGCGACACUGCUCUGUACAGCCGGGGUCAGCUACGCUCGAGGACAGGGGUGACACAGGGGCCGGCAGAGACUAGGAGCCGCUGCGACCCUCAGCCGCCGCCCGUGGGAACGCGCGAUGCUGAAAACCGGUGGGUACUUUCUUAGAGACAGCCGCCGACCGCCUUCUGUUGUUCUGCAGGUUCUAGAAGGUCGUAUAAAUAGGAUCUCACGGUGCUAUUCUCUUACUCCUGGCUCCUUUCACUUGGUGUGAUGUUUUGGGGACCCACCCACGUUGCGCGUGUCACAAGUGGGUUCCUUUCUGUGCUGUGUCUUUUCCAGCGCAUGGAAAUGCCACCGUUUUUAUAACCGGCUCGGCUGCCGGUAGACGGGCUGUUUUCCGUCUGGGCUGUUGUAAGCCGUGCACGCCUGGGGCGGGAUUGUAUACGGUAUGUUAGCUUUAGAAGACAAUGCCCAGCUGUUUCCCAAAGUGGUCCCGGUGGGGGCACACG
ensembl:lncRNA